CUUUCAGGAAUAUAGAGAGGGCCAUCUUCUUAAGAAUACAAAUCCCCCAAGAAUGGUGCUCGAGCUGCUCAAGCUUUCCAACCAGAAAAUAUGACUGUAUUGAAAGAUACGAGAAACAAUAGGACCAGCCUCACUUCUGCCCCUUAAAACAAUUCAAAUCACUGAAGGUGACAUCUCUUGCUGGCAUCUCUGCUGCCAUCUACUGACUCAAACUGGCACAUAUUCUAGUCAAUCCUAACCAAGAAGGGUUACAUUGUUCUGUAUACGUUUCCAUUUUAAGUCUUACCAUGUUGUAUUACAAUCCUUUGUACAUAACUUUACUUCUAAAUUGCAAGUACCCACAAGAUACACAGGAUGUCUUGUUCAUCUUUUAGUAGGUAAUCAGGAAAUGGUUGUGGGAUUAAGUAACUGUGAGUGUUACACAGGCCUUCUCCAAAAAGAUCAUCUCAAGAAUUUUCUUAAGGAUUCCUCCAAAACCCAGAAACUACCAUACUUUUAUCAAGCAGAAGAGAGCAAGUAGUCUAUUUUUCAAGGCCUUCAGAGUAGCUCCUUCCACAACUUUUUUUAUUCACCCAAUAUCAGCCUUCACAAUCUCCAUCAUCAGCAAAUUAUUCUGUCUCAAAUAAGAAUUGUUUACUGUUUA